rnacentral:rRNA from 1 species
UUAACUUGAGAGUUUGAUCCUGGCUCAGAACGAACGCUGGCGGCAUGCCUAACACAUGCAAGUCGAACGAAGGCCCGGAGCUUGCUCCGGAUACCUUAGUGGCGAACGGGUGAGUAACGCGUGGGAACCUGCCCAGGGGCGGGGAAUAACCAUUGGAAACGAUGGCUAAUACCGCAUACGUCCUCAGGGAGAAAGGCUUCGGCCACCCUUGGAUGGUCCCGCGUCUGAUUAGCUUGUUGGUGGAGUAACGGUUCACCAAGGCGACGAUCAGUAGCUGGUCUGAGAGGAUGAUCAGCCACACUGGGA